AAACUACUCCCUCCGUUUCAAAUUACUCGUCGCUGAAAUGGAUGUAUCUUGAACUAAAAUACAUCUAGAUACAUCCAUACGUGCGACAAGUAAUUCGGAACGGAGGGAGUAGAAA
rfam:Triticum aestivum genome assembly, contig: Triticum_aestivum_CS42_TGACv1_scaffold_500037_6BL